UUUAAAUAUUAUAUCUCUAUUUAUUUAUCAUAAAGAGUUUUAAAUGUCAAUAAAACAGAAAGCACACUCAAAUGAAGAUGUCUUCUAAUUUUUAUUUAACUUUGAUGUGUUUAUAUGGUUUGAUAUUUACACAGACAGGUGUGACCUGGGCAAUUUAUUUAUGAAACGCAAUUUUUUUUUAGCGGUUACAAAGUAGCAAAGACUACUGGCUUUUUUCAUGUUACAAACAUUAUACAGAAAUAAUUGUUAUUAAAAAAAAAUGUGUAUGUUUAAUUUAUCCGUAUUUUUAGUUACUGAAAUAUAACCCUCGUGGCAACUUCCCGUGUGACAACUAGCCCCAGCCUUCACUGUCGUUUGGUCUGUGCGCGUGACCAUGAGUGUGAUUCACUAAUGCUGGUGUCAUGCACCCGUUUAAUCCAAAAUUACUGAAACGUGUUCCGUUUUGUGUCCUGGAGCAGCGACGGCCUGACCUGUUUUAAAAAGUUAAAUUAGCCUGUUUUUGUCUUUUUGAGCUGCAUAUAGACGCUCUCAUGGAUUUCUGCAGGGUAAGAGACGGUCUGUUCUAUGUGUUUGAAAGAGCUUUUACACACACUUUCAGUUUUUUAACCUAAUUUUACGUCAACACCAAACAUUUGCAGCUUUUAGCUGUGUAUGAUGAAAAUAGUACAAACACAAUGUAGGCCUACACAAACCGAGACAAAUAGCAAAAGGCGGUUUGCUGAAGAAUUAACAAGAUGAUGAGCAUUAAGUAUUAAAUAGAGAAAAAAAGGAGUAUAAUUAACGUCUAAAUAGAGAGGUCACUAGGUUUUAAGACAGUGUCCCUUAACACUAAGUGGAGUUUUUCAAAGUUUGCUGUCUCAAAAGUGUUUAUUCAUAAUUUUGAGGUAUAGCCACACAUCCUAGCAAGCUGAAUAUGCAUGUGCAAAAAGUAAAGUAUUAGUAAUGUUUCACUUUAGUUAACUAGUUGCAAGUAGAUCUAAAAGAAAUGUUCAGCUAAUAUGGCAAUUCAGUCACCCUCUUGUGCAUGUGCACUGUUUCUUUUAACAGAGAGAGAGAAAACACGGCAAGGCCGCUUAUGGAGAUCAUGGACCUCAAAGGGCCUUUGGGCUGUUCACAGGAGCCAACCCGCAGAACUAUUGGAAACACAUCCCAGAUGGUUCGUGCACAGCCUGCUCUCUGCUGGUUAGCAGAAUGCUGUUUGCUC
ensembl:lncRNA